AAAAUGCCAUUUGUCUGUAGAUCGCUCUGUUUCACCCUCUCCUACUAUGUCUCUAUCGCUCUUUAAGUAUUGAGCUAUCUUUUGUUUGAGCACCUCCAUAUCACUUUGUCCUAACCUAGUGCUCUCUUCUUCAUGCGAUUCUGAAGUGAUUUUCUCAUCUCAUUCUGUGCAGAUCGAGAUCAUGUCCCGGUGACCACCCACGUCACCAUCAGAUCUAUUACUGUGAAACAUUAAAACACCUCCGGAGCCGCCCCCGACGGUAGAUGCCCCUCCCCCAAAGGUGCGGACUCCGACCGCAAAACCUGACUCAAUAGGGGAGGGUCCGGGUGGGCAUCUACCGUCGGGGGUGGCUCCGGUGUGGGGCGAAGUACCCACUCCACUCGCAGAUACGUCUUCCUCCAUGGCGGCUCUGGUGCAGGGAUCAUCGUCGGAAGCUCUGGACCGUGGAUCGUCGACUGAGGAACCGGACCGUAGAUCGUCGCAGGAAGAUCUGGACUGAGAACCCCUGCUGAAGGCUCCGGACCGCCGACCGUCGCCGGAGGCUCCGGACCGCCGACCGUCGCCGGAAGCUCUGGACUGCGAAACGUCGCCGGAAGCUCUGGACUGGGAACUGUCACCGGAAGCUCUGGACUGUGGAGGUGCACUGGAGUCCUCAUGCAUUGUGCCGACACCCGGUGGUGCCGGGCUGGUGACACGCACCUCAGGGUGAGUGUGGGGAAGAGGCACAGGACGUACUGGACUGUGGAGACGCACUGGAGACCUGACGCGUGGGACCGGUACAGGUGGCACCGGGCUGAUGACACGCACCUCAGGGUGAGUGCUGGGAAGAGGCACAGGACGUACUGGACUGUGGAGGCGCACUGGAGACAGUACGUAUGGCCGGCGCAGGAUAUACUGGGCCGUGGAGGCGCACUGGAGGUCUGGAGCGUAGCGCUGGCACAACGCGUCCUGGCGGGAUGCUCACUUUAGCCCGG
ensembl:lncRNA